GGAGUCCUGGUGGAGUGGGAGGAGGAUCACAAUCUCCCUGUAUUCUGUCACAUUAGCUUCAGUAGGCUUUAUAUAAACAAAAUCCAGGCGAAGGAAAGCCUACAUCCAGCGUCUGUCUGUUGUUCCUGAUAUUGUCGCAAUUUUAUAAGAUUAGUUUUCUUCUAUUUUGUAGUUGGUUUGUUUUUUGCCAGCCUUCCUGGGGUCCUAGAAAUUGCAGCUGUUUCCUGAAGUGCUGCCUCUGCUAACAUGAUCAUGCUCUCCAGACUCAACCUGCUCCUGCUGAUCUCCAGCUGCUCAUCAAUGAUCUCGUUUCGCUCCAUCCCAGGAGCAGACUGCAAAGUAGGCUGUGACCUGGGCCGUGGGCACUGCGAUGAGAACGGCAUUUGCAGGUGUGACCCGGGCUGGGAGGGGGAGCGGUGUGAUGACUGUGCCCGCAUGCCUGGCUGUGUCCAUGGAACAUGUCAGCAGCCCUGGCAGUGCAUCUGCGAAAGCAGCUGGACAGGGCGCUUCUGUGAUAGAGAUAUUAACGUGUGUGCCAAUCAGCGCCCCUGUCAGAAUGGUGCCACCUGUAUUGCUAGUGAUGGGGAGUAUUCCUGUGUCUGUGCCAACGGUUUUCAUGGCAAGUACUGUGAGCUGAAGUCAGGGCCCUGUCAGCAUGCCAGGUCCCCCUGUAAGAACGGAGGCUCAUGUGUGGAUGACAACGGUUACGCUACAGAGCUGUCCUGCCGUUGCCUGGCAGGGUACAUAGGCCCCCACUGUGAGGUCAACGUGGACGACUGCUUGAUGCGCCCCUGUGCCAAUGGCGCCACCUGUCACGACGGCAUCAACCGCUUCUCCUGCGAGUGCCAGGCUGGCUUCGAGGGGCGCUUCUGCACAGUCAACAUAGAUGACUGCGCCAGCGGGCCCUGCCUCAACGGCGGCCGCUGCUUCGACCGUGUCAACCGAUUCGACUGCGUCUGCCCUCCGGGCUACACGGGGAAAACGUGCUCUGACCCCGCUGUGAAACCCAAGCAGGAAAGAAGGUCCCAGAACUGGACCCCCAGGAGCUGGACCAGCAGCUCCUCGAGGGGCACCCUGCCCCAGCCUGACCACACUCUCCACGGCGCCAGGUGGAACGUAUCGGCCCCGUCGCACAGGAACGAGUCGGGCAGCACACACCUGCUCAAGAUCUCAGUGAAGGAAGUGGUGACCCAGCAGGGCUCGCUGCUGACCGAGGUCCAGCUGACACUGCUGGUGGUGUUCGGAGCGCUCACCCUAGCUCUGGUGGGCCUCACCGCGGCCAUGGUGCUGAGGGGUCAUUGGAGAGAGCGCUGCUCGAGGUGCCGCUGCGCCUCCCAAGCAGACAGGCAGGCGAUGGCUGAUGAGGAAUUCAAGAUCAGCAUUUUACCCCAGCCUGUGCCUGACCUGAAGAAGAAACUCAACACGAAAAUCAUUUAACAAAAAAGAAAUACUUUAAAUUCAACAUGCACCAUCGAUUUCUUGGAAAGAAAGUUGAAGAUUUCAAAGACUGGCUGUGAGGAGUUAAUGUACCUUUUGUAUGCUAAGCUUUGCCAAGAGAAGCUCCAUUAAACAAUCUUCAUCUGCCUACAGCACAGGAUGCUUUCUAAAAACAGAUUUCCACAGAAACUCUUUCGUGAAUGCAAGUCUGACACGUUUUGUACCCACCAGCAAAUGAAAGCUAACUCUCAAUGUUUCUUAAUUUAGUUCUCAGAUAUGAAUUUGUGAUUCCAGUUGGCUGCUAUUCAAGCGAAACUUUAAAUCUUAAGAAAAACAUUUUGUGCAGUAGACAAUCUCCCUUUUCAAAAGUGCAAUGGGCACAAUUUGUGAAUUCAAGAGAAGUCCCAUUGUUAAAGUAACAGUAGAAGCAGAACAUUGCGCCCUGGUAAUGGGUUGGGAAUGGUUAUUUGAAAUCAUUUUUUGGGCUGUAUACUGCAUGUACAAGUUCGCACUGGUUUACUGGGUAUGUCUGGAAAUGGAUCAAAAAGGACCUUUAAGUAAGAGAAAUGGACAGUGAAUUCAGUGAUCCAGAAGCACUUAUACCCUUACAGCAGAUGUGGGGCUGUAGGGGUAUUUAAUUCCACAAUGUCCGAUUAUUGUAGUUUAUAGAACUGUCCUUAAAGCUAGAAAAUCACAGAUAUAUGAAAAGUCUCAUUUUAUUUGUAUUUUUUGUUGUAGUGAAAUGGUUUAUUUAUGUAUAGUACAGUAGUUAAGCUUUAUACCAAAAAAAACCAAAACACUGAUCCAUAGAUGGUUUACUUUUCUAAAUAAUAAUAUUUUGUUGUCGGUUCUGAAUUCAAGGGAUUGCUUUAACGCCUUGCAUCAAUGCAAUUAUGUUUUUGACUUGUACAUGUAAUUUAUUUCUAUAAUUUAUAUGUGAAACGUGGACAUGACCUAUUUUUGAUACUUGUAUUGUGUGCAAUAAAAACUGUGAAACCUGUCUCUUUUUUUAGUUUUUGUGGGUGCUGUUUGGCAAGGAAAUACAAAAUUAAUUCUCACCUUGAGGGCCCCCAAAGAUUCUGUUUUUUUAAUUUAGACAUCUUUAAUUUAUACUUCUAUUUGUAAUGACGCUUGUUCAUCAUUUGAUUCCGAAUUACAUUACAUUGCUAUUUGCCAAGCAGUGACUGGAGAAUUGUCUGAAAAUGCAAAUUGUACAUCCCCAUCGUUAAUUAUUUUAUUUGAAAUAUGUUCUAAAAAUAAUACCUUGGUAGAUGGAUCAAAUAAAAUGUC